UAUUCCGUAGAAUUAUUUUAAUCAUAGUAUGUCUCACGACAGUUUAAAUUCUAAAGUUUGAGUUUGUUAAAAAAUUAAAAUAAAUAAAUAAAUGGUCAGUGUGACAUAAACCGGUCAUGUUCAUCCAUCACUUCGCCACAUUAGCUACGCACGAAGCAGUUGGACACACGACACACCUGAUUAUCGGGGUGGCGAGGCAGAAUGACUUGUGACCAUCAUGGGGGAAAUCAGAGGAAGUGGAUCGUUACGAUGUCACGAUCCUGAGAACACACGUACGUUGGUUUUCAAAGACGACGAACUCGGUAAAAAAAGAGAAUAGCUCUAGUCGACCGAAUACCUAAUUCAAUCAAGGUUUUCAGGUGCUCAUUGCUUUUCAUUCAUCCACAAAGGAAUAUUUAAAGGAAUGUGUCGUGUUAUUUUUUCCUGCAUUUGUGCAAUAAAGUUUAAAUAAAUAAAUGUGUAAC